CCUACGGGAGGCAGCAGUGAGGAAUAUUGGUCAAUGGGCUUACGCCUGAACCAGCCAAGUCGCGUGAGGGAAGACUGCCCUAUGGGUUGUAAACCUCUUUUGUCAGGGAGCAACUCCGGCUACGUGUAGCCUUACCGAGAGUACCUGAAGAAAAAGCAUCGGCUAACUCCGUGCCAGCAGCCGCGGUAAUACGGAGGAUGCGAGCGUUAUCCGGAUUUAUUGGGGUUAAAGGGUGCGUAGGCGGAAUGCCAAGUCAGCGGUAAAAACUCGGGGCUCAACCUCGUUGUGCCGUUGAAACUGAUGUUCUUGAGUGGGCGAGAAGUAUGCGGAAGGCGUGGUGUAGCGGUGAAAUGCAUAGAUAUCACGCAGAACUCCGAUUGCGAAGGCAGCAUACCGGCGCCCAACUGACGCUGAAGCACGAAAGCGUGGGUAUCGAACAGGAUUAGAUACCCGAGUAGUC
rnacentral:rRNA from 1 species